UUACUGUGACCUUGGCCAGUUCACAUGGGACUUGCUGUUAAUUCAAGAGGAUGUGGUCACUGGAAGAACAAACCAGCAAUAGCGUUAGAGAAACAAAGUGCAGCAGAAUAAUAAGCAUCUGGACCAUAAACACUGCUACCACAUGUGAUGGACCAUAUCCAAGUUAAACACUCUCACCAGAGCAUGCUCCAAGACAGACGACUGGGCCUCAGGCUUUGCCAAUACAAUGCAGUUCUAUUCUCUAUUUAUUUUUGUAGUUCAAAGACCUGGCAGUAGCCCAUUUGAUGCCUGCCAUAAAGACCAGUGCACUCCUGAUUACUGCCAUGAGAUUUCCAAGCCCACAGACGGCGUAUAUUCCAAUGUAUGCCAGUCACCAAGAUAGACCAUGCACAAAUAGCAGCAGGAUUCUCUGAGAGAAAGAAAAAAGCCAGCUCCUAUUUCCACUUUGAAGCCCCCCAUAACAGGCUGCCAACUUGAGGACCUUGCUUUAAUCACAGCAGCCACAUGAAAGAGUUCAUUCUGUUUAUCUUGGUUCAUUUAGGAAACCAGUGAUAAGUCUGCCAUGAAAAAAAAACAUCUUCUCCUGGAAGCUGGCAUACUUGUCCCAAGAUAUGGGCUUUGAUUUCAUUUUAAGUGCAGUUAUUUACAGUCAUACCACAGAGUGCAUGAGUUUUCUCAUUCUACCAGAUGACUCCUUUUCCCUGAUAAGCAAGCUGUGAAUACUUAAAAUUUCCUCUCAAGUACAAUGGCAUCUCUGAGUGGAAGUGGUAGGAAGAGGGCAGCAGAUGCUCCUACAGCUUCAGGUUAAGCGUGCAAGCUGCAUCCUGAUGUUCGCACCCAGCCAGGCAAUAAAAGGAACUGGAGGAAGAACUGUGGCCCACACAUAGGAGGGAACAAGGUGCGUGAUGUGACUCAACUUUCUCCCACUAGGCUUUCUGAAGCAAAUAAGACAAGCGUAAUUGUAAAUAAAGAUAGGAGGCUGGUGUUCAACUACUGAAUAUGGAGUAUUACUUUGCCAUGAAACAGCAAUAUCAGAAAAAAAACAAAGUUGCAGACUAAUUGUGGAUAAAAACAUAUAAUCCUCUUCUGCAUGAGUGGACUG